rnacentral:rRNA from 1 species
GAUGAACGCUGGCGGCGUGCCUAAUACAUGCCAGUCGAGCGAACAGACGAGGAGCUUGCUCCUCUGACGUUAGCGGCGGACGGGUGAGUAACACGUGGAUAACCUACCUAUAAGACUGGGAUAACUUCGGGAAACCGGAGCUAAUACCGGAUAAUAUAUUGAACCGCAUGGUUCAAUAGUGAAAGACGGUUUUGCUGUCACUUAUAGAUGGAUCCGCGCCGCAUUAGCUAGUUGGUAAGGUAACGGCUUACCAAGGCAACGAUGCGUAGCCGACCUGAGAGGGUGAUCGGCCACACUGGAACUGAGACACGGUCCAGACUCCUACGGGAGGCAGCAGUAGGGAAUCUUCCGCAAUGGGCGAAAGCCUGACGGAGCAACGCCGCGUGAGUGAUGAAGGUCUUCGGAUCGUAAAACUCUGUUAUUAGGGAAGAACAAAUGUGUAAGUAACUACGCACGUCUUGACGGUACCUAAUCAGAAAGCCACGGCUAACUACGUG